UACGUAGGGUGCGAGCGUUGUCCGGAAUUAUUGGGCGUAAAGAGCUUGUAGGCGGUUUGUCGCAUCUGCCGUGAAAAUCCGGGGCUCAACCCCGGACUUGCGGUGGGUACGGGCAGACUAGAGUGUGGUAGGGGAGACUGGAAUUCCUGGUGUAGCGGUGAAAUGCGCAGAUAUCAGGAGGAACACCGAUGGCGAAGGCAGGUCUCUGGGCCACUACUGACGCUGAGAAGCGAAAGCGUGGGGAGCGAACAGG
rnacentral:rRNA from 1 species